rnacentral:rRNA from 1 species
UACGUAGGGUGCGAGCGUUAAUCGGAAUACUGGGCGUAAAGCGUGCGCAGGCGGCGCGUUAAGACAGGUGUGAAAGCCCCGAGCUUAACUUGGGAAUUGCGCUUGUGACUGGCGAGCUGGAGUGUGGCAGAGGGAGGUGGAAUUCCACGUGUAGCAGUGAAAUGCGUAGAGAUGUGGAGGAACACCGAUGGCGAAGGCAGCCUCCUGGGCCAGCACUGACGCUCAUGCACGAAAGCGUGGGGAGCAAACAGGAUAGAUACCCACGA